rnacentral:rRNA from 1 species
CGUGGGCGACCUACCUUCGAGUGGGGGAUAACUGGCCGAAAGGCCAGCUAAUACCGCAUGACAUUCACACUACUAAAAAGGUGAAUCAAAGUUGGGGAUCCGCUUCGGUGGACCUGAUGCUUGAAGAGGGGCUUGCGUCUGAUUAGCUAGUUGGUGGGGUAAUGGCCUACCAAGGCAACGAUCAGUAGCCGACCUGAGAGGGUGAUCGGCCACACUGGAACUGAGACACGGUCCAG